CUACCCUUGACAUGCCAGGAACUUGCCAGAGAUGGCUUGGUGCUCGAAAGAGAACCUGGACACAGGUGCUGCAUGGCUGUCGUCAGCUCGUGUCGUGAGAUGUUGGGUUAAGUCCCGCAACGAGCGCAACCCUUGUCAUUAGUUGCUACGAAAGGGCACUCUAAUGAGACUGCCGGUGACAAACCGGAGGAAGGUGGGGAUGACGUCAAGUCCUCAUGGCCCUUAUGGGUAGGGCUACACACGUCAUACAAUGGCUGGUACAGAGGGUUGCCAACCCGCGAGGGGGAGCUAAUCCCAGAAAACCAGUCGUAGUCCGGAUUGCAGUCUGCAACUCGACUGCAUGAAGUCGGAAUCGCUAGUAAUCGCGGAUCAGCUUGCCGCGGUGAAUACGUUCCC
rnacentral:rRNA from 1 species